rnacentral:rRNA from 1 species
UACGUAGGUGGCAAGCGUUGUCCGGAAUUAUUGGGCGUAAAGAGCGCGCAGGCGGUCGUGCAAGUCGCGUGUGAAAGCCCCCGGCUCAACUGGGGAGGGUCACGCGAUACUGCUCGACUCGAAGGCAGGAGAGGGAAGUGGAAUUCCCGGUGUAGUGGUGAAAUGCGUAGAUAUCGGGAGGAACACCUGCGGCGAAGGCGGGUUGCUGGGCCGACACUGACGCUGAGGCGCGAAAGCCAGGGGAGCGAACGGG